rnacentral:rRNA from 1 species
UACGGAGGAUGCAAGCGUUAUCCGGAAUGAUUGGGCGUAAAGCGUCCGCAGGUGGCCAUGUAAGUCUGCUGUUAAAGAGUGAGGCUCAACCUCAUAAGAGCAGUGGAAACUACAUAGCUAGAGUGCGUUCGGGGCAAAGGGAAUUCCUGGUGUAGCGGUGAAAUGCGUAGAGAUCAGGAAGAACACCGGUGGCGAAAGCGCUUUGCUAGGCCGCAACUGACACUGAGGGACGAAAGCUAGGGGAGCGAAUGGG